CAGACCUACCCACCCUUGCAGAGGGAAAAAGUCAUUGAAAGUCUAAAUCUCAGCAGAAAAUUUCAUCAUGAGAAGACAUCAGAGAAAAGCACAUGCAGAAUAAAUCCCACCACAUGUGUUGGGCUGCUGACAUGUUUAUCAUGGAGGCCAUGACAAACAAGUCCAUGUUUAUCAAGGAGACCAUAAAGUCAUGAACUUCCCCAUAUUUAGCGUACUCCUGUAUGUUGAGAUCAUCCAGAACAAUUACCCUGAAGACCCUCAGUAUGACCCUCAAGGCCAUUUUCAUCUGCCCAGCAGGAGUAUUCAAAACAGAAAAGCAGCAUUUCAUCUCUUUGAUGUAGUGGAAAUUAAAAGGUCCAUUUGGCAAUAUUUUCUAAUCAAGAUGGAUAAUCAGCAGAAUGGCGUAUUCCAUGGUUUCAAGUUAAGUAUUAUUUUCACAGGAGGCAUUUUGCUGCUAGAACGUGUUCACCAAUUUUGAAGAAGGGCAGGGGGAAGAAACACUCAGAUACUUCCCCCUUUCAAAUAUGCCAUUAUGGAGGGGCUUAAAAGGGAAAGAAAUACAGCAAGAUUAGUCUGUCAUGGUGAUAAAAGAAGCCACCAUAUAAUCCACAUGUGCAUCCAUGCAGCUCAAUAGCUGUUGACAUCAUGAUGUGUUUGCUGUCUGCAUGUUCUCUAUAUUAUUAAACAAAGAGGAGUUAUUUAGUAGAUUUGCAUAACCUACUUUUCAUUAUGUGGUGCUCUAAAAAUGGUGAAAGUUGACAAGGAGUAAAAAAAUGUUUGGAUGACUGAAAUGUUAAAGAAGGAGUGAAUGAUUCUGUUUCAAAAAGAGGAUUUUUUUUUUUUUUGUAAAGUGAUGCUUUUUCCAAAGAGUUGCCAUUGGUUGCCAAAACAUCUUGCUUGCUCAACUAAUCCAGUGAAGUUAAUUCUCCUUGAUUAGAUGGGAUCAACACAGAAAAUAUGGGAGCCAAAGGCCUGUCAAGGCUGUAGUUUUCCUUUUGAGUUUUGAAGCACCACAAGCGUGGGUCAACACUAUUUCUUAGGUCUGCUGAUCUGGGCAUAGAGUGGUUCUCUCUCCUGGGGACAGUGGAAAGAAAAUUGAACAGACAUAUUCCAAGUCAUUUUGAUGUGAAAAGCAAACAUUGCAAAAAGAGGUAAAGGAGAUAAAGUGCAGAGGAACUGGCAUUUUUAUUCUAUUAUUUUGAAUUAUGAUGGCACCCAGAGGAAGAUGGUACAAAAAGAAAAAUACACUAUGAUAAUUUUGCAAUACAGGCAUUUGCUAGAAUGAUGUAGAGCCAUCAAUAACACCAAUGCACCACAUACCACUUUAGCAUUCCAUGAUGUAAUGUAAAAUUAACUCAGUUAUGCUAGACUUACCUUCAAAACUACUAUGGAGUAAACAAUGUUGACAUGUUUGACUGCAAAUAUCAAGCUGUGUGAAACAAACUGUUGUGAUGAAAAUAAAGAUAGCAUGAGGUUUAAAUCCAACUGCUAGCCCCAACUAGAUUACAGCUAUUGAAUCUACAGGAUUUAUAGAAGUCUUUAACAAUCAGUUCAAUGGGUCUACCUUAGAUGGCAUUAGCAACUGAUUUAUGCCUUUGACUAUAGGUCACCAAAUCUGGAGUCUAGCAUGGCCAGUGGCUUUGUUAAAGAGCCAAAAGAUAGAUUUUCCAAAUUCUGGUGUUAAGCCUGCAGGAAUGCAAGUGACAUUUUGCAAAACUGGAAAGCAAGAGUAUAAUGCUGUUCUUUGGAAUUUAUUUUUACUAAUUACUAAAAUCAAAUGUGUAAUGCAAUUAUGUUCUUCUAUGCAUAAUUCCUAUAAAUCCAGGUAUGCUUGCUUCUUGCCUUUCCUUUUGGUUUAGACUAUCUACCCAUGAAUAUAUCAUAUAUAUCAUCUUCAAUAGACUAUAUGACAGGGAUGGGACCAUGAAACCCUCUAGAUAAUGUUGGAUAACAAUAGCCCAAGCCAGAAGACCCAAUGGAGAGGAAUUCUGGGACUUAAGGCCAACAUAAUAAUGUGGAGGGCUGCAUGAUUCCCACCCCUACUAUAAAAUUUAUUUUAUUACUUUUUAUGUUUAUGGAAUUGUUUUGUGAAGUUUUGCUUUCUUGGUGGUAAUCCUCAACUGGAUGCAGGGGCAGUGUGCUUUACAUUCUAAUAUGUACAUACUUUUUUUUUUAAGCAGGGAAAAAGACAAAGACUCACAUCCCAUCUCUUAAGAAUCUACAAUACUUAAGCAGAGAAGCAUGGACUCAUAAUAUCCCAAGCCUAACCUCCAGUAUAGAACAGUGGAUUUUAUGUCUACCAAGGAUUCCUGAUGUCAUGCCCACAUGAGAGGGAUGCUCCAGUUAGGUAGUGUUCAAGUACCCUGAGUCUGAGGGUAGGGAGGAACUGGCUGCCCCUGUGCUUUGGUACCAAAGACAUAGGAAACUAUAAUCAUGGAUAGAGACAGAGUUACUGUAGAGUUGGACAAGAAAGCCACCUCCUUCUCUGACUGUGGACAUGAUGCUGCAUAUCCAUCAAGAGUGUUCUGCUCCAAGGAAGGCUGGCAUUUGUUCAUUUCAUUGAACUUAUAUCCUACUUCCUACACUCUACUUACAUCCUACUUCCUCUCCUCUCAGCCUGGACUCAAUGAGGCUUACAAUUUAAAACAAAUACAAUACAGAGAAAACUAUUAAAAUGCAAUGAAACUAUUGCUAACGUUUAAAAAAAAUAAAACAUACAUUCAGUAUUUUUAAAAUAAAAGUAAAGAACCUGACAACAGCCAUUUGGACCUCAAAAGCCAUAAAAUCCCAGAGUCUACAAGCAGCCACUGAGAAGGCCCCAUCUUGCAUCUGCAUAGAUGAGUCUGUGAAGGGAUUGAGAGGAGGGCAUCUCCUGAAGAUGUCAAGGGCCAGACAGACUCAUAAGGGAAGAGAUGGGCUGUAGCUGGACUUAUGCAAUACAAGGCUUUAUAGAUCAAAAACCAGCAUGUUAGCCUGUGCUUGGAAACAUAUGUUCACCCUGUAGGCCUCCUUAUGAGGAGUUGCUUUCUUGAGAACAAAUCGUCUCCAUGAGAGAAAGAGAUCUCAGGGAGGAAGGAAAUAGAUUACACAUGAGUCUUGGGUUGCAUCUUCAACUGCACAGCAGCAUAUAAACUUUACUUUAAUCAGAAUUCAGGGCUUGACACUGGAUAACUGAAUUGUUGGGAAAAACUACAGACUUUUGGCCGUUUCACACUAGACAGCUACAACACUAUAAUUCCACAUUAACUGCCAUGGCAGCAUCCUAUGGAAUCCCAGGAUUUGUAGUUUGGUAAGGUACUGUAGUUCUCUGGCUAAGAGUUCUAAACGCCCCUCCCUACAUAACUAAUCUAGAAUUCCAUAGGACUGAACCGCUGCUGUUAACUUGGAAUCAUAGUGAUGUAAUUGGGUAGUGUGAUGGAAAACCAUGAGUGGACAACUAAUAUUAGUUGGGGGUGCAUUGCCCUCUCCUGAAACCUUGGAGGAUUGCACCCUCUGAAAUAAAAUUAGACUCCUCCUCAAAUGCCCUUAAGGGCCACAGGGGGACAAUUUCACUAUAUUCAGUGCUCUCUCAUUGUUAUUUUAGGACCUGAAGGAGCUUUUUUUCCCCCCAACAGGAGAUGACCUAGAUUCUGGGUUACCUCCUGCUGAAAACAAGUUUCUUCUGGAUUUCAAACAUCCAGAGGGGGCAUGGAAAUCAGCCUCCCUAACCCCUAGUGGGUGUUCGGGUGAAUUCAGGGGGAACAUGGAUCACAGAAAUGGCACUGAGGUUGCAUGCCAUCUUCUGCCCUCUUCAAAGAGGUCAUCUGCAGCAGGAUCACUGGUAUGAGAUGCUGAGGAUUUGGAUGGAGAACUUUGUCUAGGAGCAGGGGUUGGAGCUAAAGAAAAACAACAAGUAUUCAGUAUGCUCACUCACUCAUCGAUCCUGGCACAGACCAAGAGUGGAGAAGAUGCUUAGAGACUGCAAAUGUUAAUAAGGAAAAGAGGGAGGAACUCCUCACUCUGAGCCACAUUUUGAAGAUGAAGAUCAAGAUCUGCUGGAGAGGAGCUCUCCUGUGCUCUACUAGUUCAAGGAAUACACCAAGAAGAUGUGGCAGAGAGCUUGUUCUGCAGAGACACUGUAGCUGUGGAAGCCCACGAGCUUCCCUGAUUUCUUCCGAGUUUUGGUGAGUUCAUCUAUAUUUACAGAGGAUUAGCUUACCUGAGUGACUCUAUCAAGAUUUUCAUCUAUGUCCAACAACAGGUUUCCAUUCUCCAGCUGUAAUGCAUGAUUGAUGAAAAUGAAAAUGAAUGAUUUAUGAAAAUGGCAUGUACUGCUGAGCACAACAAUGAUGACUUCAACAAUUAUUGAUUUUACUUCUGAACAAGAGCUAUUUUGUAGUUUGUUAGUAAGAUACUUUUGCUUACCUCAGUGAUAAUCUGAUCAUGCUGAACACAUGGGUUUGUUUCAGUGCCAAGUUACAAUGUAAGUGAAACUGAACUCUAGUUCAUUAAGAAACACAAACUUCAGUUCUGAGGCUUUUAUACCAAUAAACAGAACCCAGUGUGAGGAAAUGAUGAUGAAUUACUGAGAUAGACAGGGUGGACCAGAAUUCAUAAUGGUUUCCAAUGAGUAUUAGUAAAUGGACUACAAUCUGGGACACUGCUGAGAAAGGGAGAAACUGAUUGUGUUCCCCAUACACUGUGGCCAUCAGAAUAAGGUUUAUUCCCUUAUGUAGAGUGUCACCCAAGUGCACCCAUCUGCUUUUCAUUCAGAGAAGAAAAAAUAAAGUUGAGGAUAUUGUGGUGGGUGAAAACACCUACUACGUGACUAGCCAGCUUUCUGUUAGAGACAUAAAUGCAUGAACAUUAACUGUACAUGUGCAAAUGUUUAUUUUCAAUCACCGCAGAAGUCUGCAUUCACUUCACCCUCUGCAGUCACCAAAGUCCCUCCAGACCUAUGGUAGCCUACUGAAGCUGCCUUUACCCAACCAAUCUUUGCCUUUUGUGGAAAAAGCCUAGGUAGCAUUUUGUUAUGUUCCCACAGCCAGAUGUAAAGAGACUGCUUCAGCCACUGCAACUUCUAGAGAACUCCAGUAGAACUCAGUAGCAGAGGUAAUCUCUUCAUACAUGGCUAUGGGGACAUAGUCUGAUGCUCCCGCUCUCCACUAGGCAUGAAUUGGCCAUGAGGGGAGGCUUAAGGGCUACAGUAGUCCACAGGUGUGGUGGUGGUAAAGAGUUCAGAACAAUGGUAGCUCCUCAUAUGGAAAUAUAUGCUAUGUGAAGCCAUGUUGGGUUGAGGCCAGUGGAUGGUGAGGCUUCCAAGACAGAGAUUCUACAGGGUUACAGUUGUCCCUCCAUAUUUGCAGGGGUUAGGGGAACAAGACCUCCAUGAACGUGGAAAAUGUGUGAAUAAGGUGAGCAUUUAUGCAAAGGUAUGAGACCUGCAUUGCACCCAGCAAGCUACACAGAAUCCACCUCCUAUUGUGAUGAAUUUGUCAUAGCAAUCCAUAGUGGAAUCAGAGCUAGAGCUAGAGCAAAUAUUCAUAUUUGUUUCCUGGCCUGGGGGCCGGGGGGUGUUCCCUGAUGCCUAGUAAAUCCUGCCCACUAGAACAGUGCAGUGGCAAUAUCUUUCACUCUUUGCCAAAUGCUUUAGGAAAUUAUUUUGUGCAGAAAUGCACAUGGUUUUAAACAUCAAAUACCAGAAUAGGUGGCAAAGUAUGAAUGCUUCAUGAAAACUGUGCACAUAUCUUCAUUUUCUCUGCAACAGGGAGAAAUAAUCAAAUACUACUUGCAAGUAAGGAUGAAAAAGGUGUCAAUUUACACCCCACCCAACAAUAUAAAGAUAUCGAAGUAUUGUAAACAUCUGCUGAUAUAUUUAUUAUGAAAUCCAUUGCAAGAUACUUAGUUUGGUGAUAUACACCUCUUUCUUAUUGUGAUGCAUUGUCUUCAGCAAAUGAUAUUACAAUCCCGGUGACCAAUAUGCUAUCAGUGGAUCCCCACACACCAUUUAGGAAUGGUUUUCUUAUUCUCUGCUCACCCUAUUGGUAUUAGUAAAGCACAAAAGAAAGUACAUAGGUAAAUUUGCUACAAGCUAAGCACCUUCUCACAAUCCAAAACAACAUCAUUUUUACACUGAUAGAAUAUAUCCCAUUUUCUUUCCUUCUGAGCAUCAUUCGACCUGUCCUACUAGUCCUUCACUGUUGUCAUGGCAGGUCACAAUGCAACUUCAGCUGUCUUGCUGAAACACCACCGAUUUCUCUCAUGUCUUGACCAACAGCAUAACAUGAGAGAUACAUGUGUGUGACAUUCAACAGACCAUUAGCAACAAUCUAACUGCGCAGCGGCAGGACCUCCUAGAAAACAGUUGCCUGGUGUCACUGUUAUGUCCCAAGUGUCCAAUUAUCAUGGAACACUUGAGCUGUAUCCUCCAUCAGUUCUUGUUCCGCAUCACUUGCUGCUGAGGAGAUGCUUCCUAAGGGUGAACCAUUAGUGUCUGUUAGACCAUGGAAAAGUCUUCAGCAGAGAUGUCACAGAGCUACACUACACUAACUGGGGGCAAAUAUUUGGCCCCGUGUGUCUGUCUUUUUUUAGACAUUUCAAUAAGAAAGGUUUCUUCAAUUAGAGGAAAAAUCCCCUAUCUUUUCACCCUUGAGUGCUGCAUGAAACAAUCAGAAGUGUGGGAAGAUGUUUGGUGGCUUGAAUCUUCUAUGGCAUCACAGUCUUUGUGGAUUCCUUUGUGAAGAACUGUAAAGACUGCUUUUAAUUACUUGAAAAUCUGUCUCAUUUUGGCACAAAGUACAUGCACACCCCAUAGUUUAGACACUGCAUAGAGCACAAACAAGUUGUAAGAAGUGACUAAAUAGGGAAGUAGCAAAAGUAGCGUUAAUCCUCCUAUCGAGAAAGUAUUAAGCCUUGCCACUAAUGUUGUUAUCUCCCAUGUCAGCAAACAGUCUAUAAACCUUUUAAAAGGCAGAAUAUUUAAACCCAGAAAAAUUUAAAUUAAAAGUCACUGUACAGGUUUCUUAAGCCUCUCCAUUACCAUGGAAGGGAAAGAAGUGAAAAAGGAGGGAAGUCGAAGGUGUAUAAAAGAAUUAGGCAAAUGCUGCAUUAAAUAUCUGCCUAAAAGCAGAACAUCAUUAAGUGAACAUCUGUUCCUUUGUAGGUCAAAUUUGCUGUAACAUUUAAAGGACAAAAUGGCUUUCCUUUGUAUCUGUUCCUGAGAAUAUUUUUGCAUGUAAAGAUGUGGAAGUACUGUAAGCAUCUGCUGAUAUAUUUAUUAAAAUAUGUGAACCACACCUUUCUGUCCACUGUGAAGAAGUCAUACAAAGAAGCAAGAAAAUAGUAAAUCCUACCCAGUCUCCACAAAAACCUCAUCAGAAAUAUUUUAUAAGCAGAAUAAAUACAGAAGACGGAAACAUUAAUAGGUUACUUUCUUGCUAAUGAUUAAAUAUGACACUAAAUUUAUACAAUACUAUGAUCAAUUACAACCUUUCUGGACAAAACCAACAUAAUAUAAACCUUCUAUUGUAUUUCAAUACUAGCUCUGUGAAGAAAGGAGUAAAUAAACAAAGAAAAAUUAUACCACAUAGGUAGCCUUUAAUGGACUGACUAUCUAUAGAAAUAACGGCUGUUUAAAAUGGUUCCAGGAUUUAUACAUUUGGCCCAGAACUGGGACUAAAUGUGGUUUACAAUGUGAUUGAUAUAUUUUUCUUCCUGUGCUAUGCUGUGUUCAGGAAAUGAUAUUACCAUUUUGGUGAUAUGUAUAAAAUUCUAGGAUGGGUGUCCUCAUUUGCUGCAAAAAUGAAAUAUUAAGAUCUGAGAAACUAAUUUAAGUUGUUCCUAGGGGAAACUUCACCUUAAUAUUUGAAAACAGAAGCAAAGGACUAGCAAACGCUGGCACAUAUUGAUUCUAACCAAGCAUUCUUCCUCUUCUAAGAAGACCUGUCACUACUAUUUUUAAAAAUAAUUCCCUUAUUUUACAGUCCACUUUUGAACAAACUUCACUCAUUCCAACCAAAGUUGUUCAGACUUGAUUUGAGGUAAAAUUACCUCAAUAUUAAGAUGUGUAGGUACCAGGGUUCUAUUAUUUGAAGCACUGAACAUCCAACUUACUGUUAAUAUUAGCAGAAACUGUCAGCGGCCUCUAAGCUUUAGAAUAGUUUAUGAAGCAAUUAAUGAAGUUUUUAAGUCUUAAGAUCUUUGCAGCAGGAAACAUUUGAGCAAAUUAUAAAAAUAUUACUCUCUUGACCUAAUGGAUAGAGACACCACUUCAAAAAUCUAAUAAAGGAGUUAAUUGCUUUGUCUUUCCACUCAAUAAAUGCAUUAUUAAGAAGUCGUCUUAAAACUGACAUAUCUCAGAAAUGCAAACUGUGGAAGCUGAGUACAAGGCUGUCUCAGCCUAAUAUGAAGUACUAACUGUACAAGUGAAAGAAGUAGGAGAUUGAGAAAAAUAAUAACACUGGGAGCAUUUUUAUAGAGACAAUCUUGUUCUGAAUACAUUCACACACACACACACACACACACACA